rnacentral:rRNA from 1 species
GAUGCAUGAUGCCGCGUGAGUGAAGAAGGCCUUUGGGUUGUAAAGCUCUUUUGUAGGGGAAGAUAAUGACUGUACCCUAAGAAUAAGGUCCGGCUAACUUCGUGCCAGCAGCCGCGGUAAUACGAAGGGACCUAGCGUAGUUCGGAAUUACUGGGCGUAAAGCGCGCGUAGGCCGUUGAGUUAGUUAAUUGUGAAAUCCCAAAGCUUAACUUUGGAACUGCAAUUAAAACUGCUCGACUAGAGUUUGAUAGAGGAAAGCGGAAUACAUAGUGUAGAGGUGAAAUUCGUAGAUAUUAUGUAGAACACCAGUUGCGAAGGCGGCUUUCUGGAUCAACACUGACGCUGAGGCGCGAAAGUAUGGGUAGCAAAGAGGAUUAGAUACCCUCGUAGUCCAUACCAUAAACGAUGAUUGCUAGAUGUUGGAAAUUUAUUUUCAGUAUCGCAGCUAACGCAUUAAGCAAUCCGCCUGGGGAGUACGACCGCAAGGUUAAAACUCAAAUGAAUUGACGGUGAACCGCACAAGCGGUUGG